UUGAAUCACUAAAUCCACUAGAAAUCUCUCACCAAUCCACUCGCGCAACGAAAACACUAUCGUACAUCUACGCGUAAAUUUGAACCAACAAAACGGAGCAAAGGAAAGAAGUCGAUUCGAACGAAACAGAGGUAAACGGUGCACGCGAAUAAUCCUCCUAAAUACGAGCCGAAUCGAGCGUGUAUAACGACAAGGCACCCUUGUUCGAAUAAUAAAUCUCGGCCCAACAACAUUACCGAGCGACAAAAGGAUCGACAUGGGCGUGACUACCGCGUGUCGUUGCUCGUUUCGAUCGUGAGAGAUGGAGACGUCAACUUUUGUCGCGAUUCGUCUCGGGCCGAUGUGUCGCCACCGAGGAUCGAGUGGCGUUCGAAUCGGUGACGUGUGCUGCGUACACGGAGCGAGUGAAUUUUCGCCGCGUGCUGCUCGUCCACGCCGAUUAUAAUCCCGCUCAUUGUUCGCGAUGGGAUCGGCUCGAGCCGCGACGAAUUCGCAGCUGAACGAUGAUUGUUUUUCGGGAAAGUGGGUGAAAUGGUAAUAUUCGAGGAGAGAAGGAGGCUGUUGGAUCGAUCUCGACGCGUUUUGGAAAACGUGCCGUUCGAUUUCGAAGAGGUCGAUGAUUAGAAUUGAAAUAGCGAAUAAUGAGAAUGACUAGAUGUAUCAUGGAAGGGAUUGCGAUUGGAUCGAUUACGACGUAUUUUCAAAUAUACGUAUAAUUUUGGUUAGAAAGAGGUUAUGAUUGUUAACAGAUAUACUGCGAGCAAAUUCGACGAUCACUUCGAUAGACGAGAGAAAUAAUAAUCGUAAGAUCACAUGUGGGGAUCGGCGAAGCGGAAUCGAAUCUAUCAGUAUCGGUACUUUUUUAGGGAAAUGACAGAAUUGUGUCGGCGAAAAGGGUGUCGAAGCAAAUAAGUGCAGUCGCGAUACGACGGGUGUUCGCUCGCUAACAAUAAGUGAUCGAUGGUCGGGUUCCUGACUCAGCAGACAUUCGCGAAACCGAACACCGUGCCUCGAUUUUUGCGCGCAAAUAUGCACGCGACAGACGCCAACAAGCAUGUACCUUAACGUGCCACGGCAUGUAUUACCUAACUCCGAUAUUCAUAGACUUUGCAAAUGUCUUAAACAGAUUAAAAAGCGGGGAAAAGUUUUUACGAUACGGCCGAUGAUUACGAAAAAUAUAACCUAACCUAACCUAACCUUUUUUAACACGUAAUUUCGUUAUAUAUACGUACACUUUUUAAUUCGUUUCGAUCUCUUUGAUUAGACAGGAUAAUAUAUUUAUAACUUUUAGAAUAGUAUAAUUUUACCAUAUAAUUGUUAUUCUUACACAAAAAUUUAAUACGAAUUAUCUUUCGAUUCUGAACGCACAUAUGGAGCACACGUUUAAUUAUUCGAAUGAACUCUCGAUUUUGACUAGUGGAAAAACAUUGAAAAUUAGAAUCGUAUCCAAACGAUCAUCCGUCGCGAAGAAUUUCAAAGUAAUUACACCGGCCCUGCACCAUAGCUCUCGCAUAAAAAGGAAGACUAGCCGCGUGUAAACGAUCUCGAGGCUCGUGUUAUGAAGAAGAAGAGGAAGGAAAAAAGAAGGAAAGAAAAAGGAAGAAGGGAGGUGAAACCGUGAACCACCUAGGAGCGUAACAUUAGCCUCGAGGAGGAUCGCGCUUCUCUCACAGGCGCAGUAAACGGCGUGCAAAUCCUAGACACGUUGCUCGAAAGGAAAAAACGCGCGGCACCGCGUAUAAGGUGACCCAUCGACCGGUCACCUGCCGUUGAAUAACGAGGACACGCUAUCCAACCGGAGGAUACCUAACAUCCUCCAAGGAUGGCAGAUGACCGUCGAUGGGAAAUGGACCACCUUCGAUGAUGUCCACGACGAUGAAAAUCACACCGUCCCGUGUGCCGAUCGCUCUUUCCACGUAAGAACGAUCCCGUGAGAAUUUUUGCACCACUUUGGAAUCCUCCGAGGGAGGGGUUUAGGUUGCAGCGGAUGCUGUUAAGGGGCGAAAGGAAAGCCACAAUAUCCACGUCCACCUCGUCGAAGACGGUGCACAAAGACACGGAAAAGAGGGGGAUGAAUCGGCUCGCAAUGAAUGCACGCGCACCUCCCGGAUUUAAAAUCUGCUCGCUCCAAAUCGCGUUACGGUCGCGGGACAGCGACGCGGGGGGGCGAAGGGAUUAAACGGCAGAGCGACAGUGCCGGUUUUCCACGGUGCUCGCCGCCGCUGGACUUCUUGAAACCGCAGAUGCGACGUUUCAAAGUGUCGUUUCGCGAUCCCAGCCUUGUUACGCGCGUAAACGCGAUUCGCGCCACGAGAGGAUAAAGGGGCGACGAAUUUCUUCCCUUCUCGUCGACGAUAUUCUUCCUUGCCGAAUUUUUUAUUUUCGCACUGGGAACAGUACAACACUGUGGAGAGAUUGGUGAAAACAAAUUUUUGUUGUUUAUCGCGUACAGUAAUUCAAAACGAUUUUCUUAUUUCUCAUAAUAUAUUAAUCACGAUUUGUAAUUUUGGUAUAUAGUUUGAUUUGUUAAUUUUGUAAUUUUCAAAUUUUAGCUC